rnacentral:rRNA from 2 species
AAACCAACAGGGAUUGCCUUAGUAACGGCGAGUGAAGCGGCAAAAGCUCAAAUUUGAAAUCUGGCACUUUCAGUGUCCGAGUUGUAAUUUGAAGAAGGUAACUCUGGAGUUGGCCCUUGUCUAUGUUCCUUGGAACAGGACGUCACAGAGGGUGAGAAUCCCGUGCGAUGGGGUGUCCAAUUCUAUGUAGAGUGCUUUCGAAGAGUCGAGUUGUUUGGGAAUGCAGCUCUAAGUGGGUGGUAAAUUCCAUCUAAAGCUAAAUAUUGGCGAGAGACCGAUAGCGAACAAGUACAGUGAUGGAAAGAUGAAAAGAACUUUGAAAAGAGAGUGAAAAAGUACGUGAAAUUGUUGAAAGGGAAGGGCUUGAGAUCAGACUCGGUAUUUUGCGAUCCUAUCCUUCGUGGAGAGGUUUCACUUGCAGCUUACCGGGCCAGCAUCGGUUUGGAUGGUAGGAUAAUGACAUUGGAAUGUGGCUUUUCGGAGUGUUAUAGCCUUUGUUGAUACUGCCUAUCUAGACCGAGGACUGCGUCUUUGACUAGGAUGCUGGCAUAAUGAUCUUGAACAACGGGACC